rnacentral:rRNA from 1 species
UACGUAGGUGGCAAGCGUUGUCCGGAUUUACUGGGCGUAAAGAGCGCGCAGGCGGUCGUUCAAGUCGCGUGUGAAAGCCCUCAGCUCAACUGAGGAAGUGCGCCCGAAACUGCAGAGCUUGAGUACCGGAGAGGAUGGCGGAAUUCCCCAAGUAGAGGUGAAAUUCGUAGAUAUGGGGAGGAACACCGGUGGCGAAGGCGGCCAUCUGGACGGAUACUGACGCUGAGACGCGAAAGCGUGGGUAGCAAACAGG